rnacentral:hammerhead_ribozyme from 1 species
AUCCAGCUGAAGAGUCCCAAAUAGGACGAAACGCGCGUCCUGGAC